AGCAUGGGCGAAUAAACUUGAAACAGACUGUCACUAGCUAGCCUCAGAACUGUAUCACAACACAAACUCACUCCCAAGUUCAAAUCUGAAAAUUCUGAUUUCUGAAUCCAAUCUGCAGUGGUUUUAGGUAUGGCGAGGUUGAGAAAUUCUGUUCAUGGUUGGAAAUUUGGGUAUGGAUUGAAGUUUGAAGGCAAGUGACUUGUUCGCAAUCGCAAGACGACACGGACUCAUAGCAAUCGAAAUCGAAAUCUGCCGCUGACUUAGAGCAGAAUUCAGAUGGGGACGACGGAGGAGAGCAUCCGAAAGUGCUUUUAGUGCAGGCGCAAGAACGGUGACUGAUAGAAGAACUCAGUUGAGUCCGAAGUCUGUUAAAUUUUGCAUGCUGUUGAAGGAUUGGUUGGAUGAAGAAUACCGAUUGAAAAAUUUGGAGAGAGUAGGAGGAUCUAAAAUGCUGGAGAAUAUGAAGGGAGGCUAUUUCGAUGAUGACGAUGCUGACCAAGAUCAAGAUAUUGAGAGGCACUAUUUUCCCAAUGCAGAGUAUUACUGUUCGACUUCUCAAACUCCAAAUUUUACUUAUGAUUGGGAAAAACUUCCGGAUUAAGUGUUUUCAUGUAGUUCUUCUAGUCUUUUCUAUUUAUAUUUUACCUAUGAGUAUUUAUAAAAUAGAAGUAUUUUUAUUUAAUAUACAGGUAAGAUUUCAUUUC